rnacentral:tRNA from 1 species
GGAAGCUAGUUUAUUUAGAACGGUAGUUUGUGGCUCUAUUAGAAUAGACUUGGUCUAUGCUUCUAA